CCUACGGGAGGCAGCAGUGAGGAAUAUUGGUCAAUGGUCGGGAGACUGAACCAGCCAAGCCGCGUGAGGGAGGAAGGUACAGAGUAUCGUAAACCUCUUUUGUCAGGGAACAAAGGCGGGGACGUGUCCCCGGAUGAGUGUACCUGAAGAAGAAGCAUCGGCUAACUCCGUGCCAGCAGCCGCGGUAAUACGGAGGAUGCGAGCGUUAUCCGGAUUUAUGGGGUUUAAAGGGUGCGCAGGCGGUCUGUUAAGUCAGCGGUCAAAGCACGGGGCUCAACCCCGGCCCGCCGUUGAAACUGGCAGUCUCGAGUUGGAGAGAAGUAUGCGGAAUGCGCGGUGUAGCGGUGAAAUGCAUAGAUAUCGCGCAGAACUCCGAUUGCGAAGGCAGCAUGCCGGCUCCACACUGACGCUGAGGCACGAAAGCGUGGGUAUCGAACAGGAUUAGAUACCCGUGUAGUC
rnacentral:rRNA from 1 species